rnacentral:rRNA from 1 species
ACGCUGGCGGCGUGCCUAACACAUGCAAGUCGAACGGAGCCAGCCCCUUCGGGGGACUGACUUAGUGGCGAACGGGUGAGUAACGCGUGAGAAACCUGCCUUUCAGUGGGGGACAACAGUUGGAAACGACUGCUAAUACCGCAUAAUGUCAUUUGGGGGCAUCCUCGAAUGACCAAAGAUUUAUUGCUGAAAGAUGGUCUCGCGUCUGAUUAGCUAGAUGGCGGGGUAACGGCCCACCAUGGCGACGAUCAGUAGCCGGUCUGAGAGGAUGAACGGCCACAUUGGGACUGAGAUACGGCCCAGACUCCUACGGGAGGCAGCAGUGGGGAAUAUUGGGCAAUGGGGGAAACCCUGAUGCAGCGAUGCCGCGUGGAGGAAGAAGGUUUUCGGAUUGUAAACUCCUGUCUUAAAGGACGAUAAUGACGGUACUUUAGGAGGAAGCUCCGGCUAACUACGUG